rnacentral:rRNA from 1 species
AUUGAACGCUGGCGGCAGGCCUAACACAUGCAAGUCGAGCGGAUGAAGGGAGCUUGCUCCUGGAUUCAGCGGCGGACGGGUGAGUAAUGCCUAGGAAUCUGCCUGGUAGUGGGGGAUAACGUCCGGAAACGGGCGCUAAUACCGCAUACGUCCUGAGGGAGAAAGUGGGGGAUCUUCGGACCUCACGCUAUCAGAUGAGCCUAGGUCGGAUUAGCUAGUUGGUGGGGUAAAGGCCUACCAAGGCGACGAUCCGUAACUGGUCUGAGAGGAUGAUCAGUCACACUGGAACUGAGACACGGUCCAGACUCCUACGGGAGGCAGCAGUGGGGAAUAUUGGACAAUGGGCGAAAGCUUGAUCCAGCCAUGCCGCGUGUGUGAUGAAGGUCUUCGGAUUGUAAAGCACUUUAAGUUGGGAGGAAGGGCAGUAAGUUAAUACCUUGCUGUUUUGACGUUACCAACAGAAUAAGCACCGGCUAACUUCGUG